rnacentral:rRNA from 1 species
UACGUAGGGUGCGAGCGUUAAUCGGAAUUACUGGGCGUAAAGGGCGCGUAGGCGGCCUGCUAAGUCGGACGUGAAAUCCCUCGGCUCAACCGGGGAACUGCGUCCGAUACUGGUGGGCUCGAAUCCGGGAGAGGGAUGUGGAAUUCCAGGUGUAGCGGUGAAAUGCGUAGAUAUCUGGAGGAACACCGGUGGCGAAGGCGGCAUCCUGGACCGGUAUUGACGCUGAUGCGCGAAAGCCAGGGGAGCAAACGGG